rnacentral:rRNA from 1 species
CCUAUGGGGGGCAGCAGGCGCGAAAACUUUACAAUGCGGGAAACCGUGAUAAGGGAACUCUGAGUGCCCGUAAAAUCGGGCUGUCCGCUAGUUUAAACAACUGGCGAAGAAAGGGCCGGGCAAGACCGGUGCCAGCCGCCGCGGUAAUACCGGCGGCUCGAGUGGUGGCCACUAUUACUGGGCUUAAAGCGUCCGUAGCUGGUUUGUUAAGUCUCUGGGGAAAUCUUCCGGCUCAACCGAAAGGCGUCUCAGGGAUACUGGCAGACUAGGGAUCGGGAGAGGUGAGAGGUACUCCAGGGGUAGGAGUGAAAUCCUGUAAUCCUUGGGGGACCACCUGUGGCGAAGGCGUCUCACCAGAACGGCUCCGACAGUGAGGGACGAAAGCUGGGGGAGCAAACCGGAUUAGAUACCCGCGUAGUCC